CAUAAACCACAAAAAACAAGAGAUCCCUCACUGUCAAUACUCAAAACCACUUAAGACCAUAAAGAUAAAAACCUAAACCACCAAGACCCAAUCAAUCGUACUCGCAGGUCCAAAAGAAUAAAAACAUCCAUCAGAUCAAAACAUGAAAACCCACCCUAGAUUCGAAAACCCUGAAAACAAAAACCCAAUUCUGGCAAAACCAGGGUGAAAGAAGGGUAAAACUCCUUUGAUGAUAGAGAGAGAAGGGAGGAUUCCGUGAGAGGAAAGAGAGAGAAGGGACAGAGGCAGCGAGAGAGAGAGAAAGGCGUGCCUAAGCUUUGCUUUAAGAUUCAUUGCUUUAAGAUUCAUUGCUUUAAGACUUAGCUUUUUAGGGAAGAAAAGUUUUAUUUUAAUGUUAUGGUACUCAGUACUUAAGAGCUUAUCAUAUUAGGGAACAAAUGGAGCAGUUCGGGAUGAAACUUUACUGCAACUUUCGACUCCUGUUAUGUUCGUACAGGGUCAUCUGUGGUGCAAAGAUAUCAGUAUGACGAAUCCUCUUUCUUCUUUUGGUGAUCUUGACUGUUUGACUCACUUUCCCACUUGCAGUUGAAUGAGGGGUGGCCGCAUAACAGAUAGUAUCAGACUUAGAGCAUAAAUGUUGAGAAUGUGCAUGAAUUUUCAUAAAGUCAUAGAUAGCCCUGAAAUGGUUUAAUUCACAGUACAUUUUUAGGUAUAAUGACUGAAAUAUUCUUAUGAUUAUAUAAUAAGACAAUGUGUCCUCGGACAAUUAAAAUAAGAAAACAUUAGAGGCAACAUAGGUACGGAAAAUUACAAAUACAUGAUUACCGUUCAAACUGAUGUGAAUGUCUGUUAAGAAUAGGUUUGUCCUCUGUAACAUGAUGUCCCUAUUGGGCAAUAGCUUUAGUAAAAAUGUUAGCUGUCUGCUUUGCAGAUGAAACAUCCUGAGAUGGGGAGUAUCAUCCCCAUAAUUAUUAUAAAUCUAAUACAAGUUACAUUAAGGUUCAUAUGCAUAUGCCCAAUAAUCAUCUGGAUGUACAUAGCAUCCAAGAUAGAAGUAGUACUGGAUAAAAGCACCCAAUCGAGAGUUUGAUGAACAAUUAGUGUAGAAAGCAAUGAAUGGCUAAAAUAUAAGGUCAUUGGGGGCUUUCCAAUACCAGCUUUUGGAUUUGAGAAAUCACAAGAUAUCCAUAUCCUAAUGUGGUGAAAUUGGACCCUUGAAUGUCGACCGGGCUAGGAUUCAGGCUCUUGCUGAAGGUUCACUGUAGAUAAUUCCUAACAUGGCAUCCUCUGGGAUACGGCAAGCUUGACUACACAUUUCAUAAUUUUGCAUAUGUUAAUUUUUAUCUCCAUUUAUGGGACAAUUGUAAGAUGCAUUGUUUUCAAGACAUGGUUUCUUACAUUACAUGACUAUCAAUGAUCCUGCCUUUGCAGCUAUGGAUCAUGGUACUCCAUGCUAUGACUAUGGCCAUUUGCAGUAUGGAAGCUUGCAAUUUCAUUUGAGACGAUCUCAUUCUAAAAAAUGAUUUGGAAUAUUUUUUAAUAUUUUAGAGGAAAAAUGAUUAAGAAUAUUUUUCUAUUCCUUUAUUUUUUUUGGGGUAGGUCGGCAUAUCAUCAUCAUCAUCAUUUGACAAUUUCACAAAUUUCGUUAUGUGCAGUGACUUUUGGAUGAACAAAUUGCUCGGAUCUGACUUUUUGUCAUUGUACUCUUGCAUUGUGCAUAUAUUUUGCAACUUUUUUUUCUUGCUCUUUAGGGGUUUUCAUGUAUUUCUAGAUAUCUUCGCCAGCCAUGUUUUGCUAUUUAUAUCUUGGUUCAUGUAACAUCGUAUAAUGUCUGGUCAACUGAAGACUUGAGAAAGUGCUCCAUUGCAGCUCCUGACCAUGACAUUGACCCCUCUCUUAUGUAUCCUCCACAUUCUUGUAUCAACUGUUUGCUUUGCUUCUUUGAAGAUAUGGAUGGUAUCUAGUUCGUCCUUGUCACAAGAUUAGAAUAGUUAUGAAGGGGCAUAAACAUUGGAAGGCCCUGGUGCUUGACUGUUAACUCUAUUGAACUCCAGGAGUUAACAGGAUGGAUGUGGGCAUUUAAGAAUUAAAAUGAUUUUGGUCGGUUUGUCAUUUGACUUACUGUUGUAAACUUGUUCUGGAUUAAUACAAUGGUUUGUUAGUUUAUCA